GCGCUAACUCAUUGGUAGAGCAUCUGCUUUUCAUGCAGAAGGUCCCAGGUUCAGUCCUUCUGGGAAAGGCC